GUGUCAGCAGCCGCGGUAAUACGUAGGUGGCAAGCGUUGUCCGGAAUUAUUGGGCGUAAAGCGCGCGCAGGUGGUUUCUUAAGUCUGAUGUGAAAGCCCACGGCUCAACCGUGGAGGGUCAUUGGAAACUGGGAGACUUGAGUGCAGAAGAGGAUAGUGGAAUUCCAAGUGUAGCGGUGAAAUGCGUAGAGAUUUGGAGGAACACCAGUGGCGAAGGCGACUAUCUGGUCUGUAACUGACACUGAGGCGCGAAAGCGUGGGGAGCAAACAGGAUUAGAUGCCCUGGUAGUCCACGCCGUAAACGAUGAGUGCUAAGUGUUAGGGGGUUUCCGCCCCUUAGUGCUGCAGCUAACGCAUUAAGCACUCCGCCUGGGGAGUACGGUCGCAAGACUGAAACUCAAAUGAAUUGACGG
rnacentral:rRNA from 1 species